rnacentral:tRNA from 1 species
UCCCUGGUGGCUCAGAUGGUAAAGCAUCUGCCUGCAAUACAGGAGACCGGGGUUCAAUCCCUGGGUUGGGAA